rnacentral:rRNA from 1 species
CCUACGGGGGGCAGCAGUGGGGAAUAUUGGGCAAUGGGCGCAAGCCUGACCCAGCAACGCCGCGUGAAGGAAGAAGGCUUUCGGGUUGUAAACUUCUGUUGUCAGGGAAGAGUAGAAGACGGUACCUGACGAAUAAGCCACGGCUACCUACGUGCCAGCAGCCGCGGUAAUACGUAGGUGGCAAGCGUUGUCCGGAUUUACUGGGUGUAAAGGGCGUGUAGCCGGGUUGACAAGUCAGUUGUGAAAUCCUGCGGCUUAACCGCAGAACUGCAUUUGAAACUGUUGAUCUUGAGUACUGGAGAGGCAGACGGAAUUCCUAGUGUAGCGGUGAAAUGCGUAGAUAUUAGGAGGAACACCAGUGGCGAAGGCGGUCUGCUGGACAGCAACUGACGGUGAGGCGCGAAAGCGUGGGGAGCAAACAGGAUUAGAUACCCGGGUAGUC